UACGUAGGCGGAAUAUUAAGUCAGUGGUGAAAUCCUGCAGCUUAACUGUAGAAUUGCCAUUGAUACUGGUCUUCUUGAAUUUAGUUGAGGUGGGCGGAAUGUGUAAUGUAGCGGUGAAAUGCUUAGAUAUUACACAGAACACCGAUUGCGAAGGCAGCUCACUAAACUAACAUUGACGCUAAGGUACGAAAGCGUGGGGAGCGAACAGGAUUAGAUACCCUGGUAGUCC
rnacentral:rRNA from 1 species